CCUCCACCACACCACAGCCUUCCUUUCUUCUGGAAACCCUAGUUUGGGAGGAGGCACUUCGUUGUGGCCUGGGGGCUCUGCUUCUCGGUUUAGAUUGGUAGCGAAGCGAUGGCUCGCAGGUUAGAAUUUGGAAGUGCUCGUGGUGAGCGGGAGGAGACGAGAAAAGCAAUUUUCUAAACCCAUCAACUUCCGGGAUGGGAUGGGAUGAGAUGAGCUCCAUUGGAUGCCUGGCAACAGCCUUACGGCUGCUCACGUUGCGACCUUUUGUUGGAAAGCCCGAGCUUUGAGAGCUUUGGGAGCUUCGGUGGCUGGGUAUUUUGUACUAUAGCUCUUUCUACUUAUUACAAAAGCCUAUAACCGUCAUACAAGCACGAUUAUCCUAUUGUAAAUGAGAUGAGGUUGAGGUAUCGCAGAGCGAAUGGUUUCGAAGUGACUCUUUUCCUCCCACCAGCGUAUUUCCAAAGUUGGUGCGUCCAGAAUUACUCUGUCACUACUUCCUGAAAACAAGACAACUCGUGGCGAAGUGAGGGUGUUGGCUAGUUGUGGAGCGCAGCCGGUGGCCAUCACGAGGGUGGGAAGAGAGCAGUGAACCAGAAGUGUAGGGUAGUUGGAGCGAGUCCCAAAGUCUAAGUUUGGGCUCUUCAAAUACCAAACUACAAGGGGACUGUGGGACGGUGGGUGAUGCAAUUAGAAUGGAGCAAGAGAGUCUAGUGCGUGGUAAGCAGGAUCUGGAGGGGGGUUGUCAAGAAGCUAAAUUCUGCCGUGGGAUGCUAUUCCUGGGCUCUACUGAUUGCUUCAUUGAAAGUGCAGUCCUCGCCAAACUCUCCAAGUUGACAGACCUUGAGAAUUGCGCUUCAAUCGGUUGGAAAAGUCCAUGCACCUUUCGUACACGUGGAUUUAGUUGGCAAAUUGUAGAGACCCAAGUUUGCCAUUGUUGUUGGUGCAACAACCCCAAAGCCACCCAUGAGCUUUUCAAUGGUGAAAAACCUGUGUCAGUUCAAUUUCCAGCAUAUGAAACCAAUAAGAGUUUUUAAUUAA